AGCUCCAAUAGCGUAUAUUAAUGCUGUUGCGGUUAAAAAGCUCGUAGUUGGAUCUCGGCGGGUUGGGGGCGGUUCGAUUUUGUCGCUACUGCCCCAUUAACUCGUGUUUUUGGCGGAGGUUUUGGGGUGCUCUUAACCGAGUGUUCCAAGGCGCCGCCAGGUUUACUUUGAAAAAAUUAGAGUGCUCAAGGCAGGCUUUACACGCCUGAAUAUUCGUGCAUGGAAUAAUAGAAUAGGAUGUCGUUUCUAUUUUGUUGGUUUUCGGAAAUCGACAUAAUGAUUAAUAGGGACAGUCGGGGGCAUUAGUAUUCAGACGACAGAGGUGAAAUUCUUGGACCGUCUGAAGACUAACAACUGCGAAAGCAUUUGCCAAGAAUGUUUUCA
rnacentral:rRNA from 1 species